GUCUCACAGAAACAACAACAGGUUUUUGUUCCUGGUGUUCAGUUGUCACGGUUGGUGGUCAGUAAUUGAGCCAAGAUGCUGCGGAAUCUGCUGGCUCUUCGUCAGUUUGGGCAGAGGACCAUAAGCACUGCUUCCCACAGGCAUUUUAGAAAUAGAGUUCCAGAGAAACAAACGCUGUUCCAGGAGGAUGAUGGGAUUCCAGUGUAUCCAAAGGGUUGGGUAGCUGAUGUGCCCCUGUAUAGAGCCACCAUGAUUCUUACAGUUGGCGGAACAGCAUAUGCUAUAUAUCAGCUGGCUAUGGCUUCAUUUCCCAAGAAGCAGGAUUGACUUCGGUCAUCCCAGCAAUCACUUGGUUCAGUUUCAUUCCACUCCCUAUGGACCAGUAAUCUGAUAAAUAACUGAGCUCUUCUUUGGGGAUCAAUAUUUAUUGACCUGUACUAACUGCUGUCAAUAAAGCAGCCUUUACCAUGAAAAAAAAAAAAAAAGAAACAACAAUAAA